rnacentral:rRNA from 1 species
UACGGGGGGAGCAAGCGUUGUUCGGAUUUACUGGGCGUAAAGGGCGCGUAGGCGGCCAGCACAAGUCAGUUGUGAAAUCUCCGAGCUUAACUCGGAAAGGUCAACUGAUACUGUGCGGCUAGAGUGCGGAAGGGGCAACUGGAAUUCUUGGUGUAGCGGUGAAAUGCGUAGAUAUCUGGAGGAACACCGGUGGCGAAGGCGGGUCUCUGGGCCGUAACUGACGCUGAGGAGCGAAAGCAUGGGGAGCGAACAGG